UACAGAGGUCUCAAGCGUUGUUCGGAUUCAUUGGGCGUAAAGGGUGCGUAGGUGGCGCUGUAAGUCGGGUGUGAAAUUUCGGAGCUUAACUCCGAAACUGCAUUCGAUACUGCGGUGCUUGAGGACUGGAGAGGAGACUGGAAUUCAUGGUGUAGCAGUGAAAUGCGUAGAGAUCAUGAGGAAGACCAGUGGCGAAGGCGGGUCUCUGGACAGUUCUGACACUGAGGCACGAAGGCCAGGGGAGCAAACGGG
rnacentral:rRNA from 1 species